rnacentral:lncRNA from 1 species
UAAUGGUGUCGGGAAUAUAUAUAAUCCCAACGAAUCAUCAAGUCAAUGGAAAAUGAUUGGCUACACGUCGACAGUCGAACUUUUACUUUGGUUCGGUUAUAGGAGCAAUUUAUAUCGCUCGUCCUCGAGAUGUUUUGCGAGAUAGAAGCUGAUCAGGAAUCUAACUCGCGGGCCAGUGGUGGCCUAAGGAUGUUGGUUUAUCGAUGUCGC